ensembl:miRNA
CCAAUGCUCCAAUGCUCGGAUGCCCGAGAAGGUGACCUGGAUGAGAAGGAUGAAGAUCCUGCGCCGGCUUCUCAGGAGAUACCGGGAA